CUUUCUUUUAAUUGUUGUCAUGCUUUCUUUUAAUUCCUUAGAUGUGAUUUUCUUUUCUUCUGAACAUAUUUAUAAUAACUUAUUUAAAACAUUUGUCUGUUAAAUCCAAUAUCUAGGCUACCUCAGAGAUAGUUUCUCUUGAUGUAUUUUUUUCUUUGUGUGAGUCAUAAUUUUCUGUUUCUUGUGUCUCAUAAUAUUAAUGAAAAUUGUGCACUUAAAAUUACAUACUGUGGCAACUCUAGAAAUUUAAUCCCUCUGCCUCUUUCCCCAUAAUUGUUGCUAUUACUGUUUUUGUUGCUAAUGCUGUUGUUCUGAUUGUUUAGGAAUCUCUUGAACUAAUUCUGCAAUGUGUAUAUUUCUUACAGGGUGCAGCCGCUGAAGUUACUGCUUGGUUAGCUUGGUGGUCAGCUGAAGAUUUGUGAAAGAUUUUCUUAAAUACAUAAGGAGCUCUAUGUGUAUAUUUCAGCAUGCCUUAAACAUUUAUGCUAUUCACAAUUCUGUGUUGGCUUUUGUAUCUUGCCUGCAAAAGUCCUCAAGGUCGUUCAGAAUGAAAGAGUUGACCCCUUGCAUGUGGUUCCUGGCCAUGCACACAGCCCUACACAGAAGUUACCUUUUAGAUUCCUUGGAAAUUUUCAGGUUUUAAAAACCCUACUAUAGUUGUCUUCAGAUUUUUUUUUUUAAAUUUUUUGCCAGACCCUUCUUUGUCCUAACUUGUAUCACAGCCUCAGGGAACAGCAAUGUUUAUUAACUAUUCCUAAUGGUUUUUAGGAAAUUUUUUGAGGCUAGAACUUUUCUCAUAGAACAAGUUCUGAGUCAGAUUAAAUAAUGACAGCACUCUGUAAAGGGGGUUUUUCCAGGAAGCUGAAAAAGAGGUAAAAUAGUGAAAGUGUUCUGGAGGUGGGACUUUUUGGGAAGCUUCAAAUAUGCUCUGCCCUCUGUAGGCUGAAAAUCUCAUUUUUACAGCCACCAUUGUUGUAAGACUGCUCUUUUCAAGGCUACUGUGGAGCUGGGCAUGGGGAUUAGAUACUGG
rnacentral:lncRNA from 1 species